rnacentral:rRNA from 1 species
CGCGUAGGCGGAUGUUACAGUCAGGCGUGAAAUUCCUGGGCUCAACCUGGGGGCUGCGUUUGAUACGUGAUGUCUGGAGUUCGGAAGAAGGUCGUGGAAUUCCCAGUGUAGAGGUGAAAUUCGUAGAUAUUGGGAAGAACACCGGUGGCGAAGGCGGCGACCUGGUCCGAUACUGACGCUGAGGCGCGAAAGCGUGGGGAGCAAACAGGAUUAGAUACCCUGGUAGUCCACGCUGUAAACGAUGUGCGCUGGAUGUUGGGUGACAUAGUCAUUCAGUGUCGUAGCUAACGCGAUAAGCGCACCGCCUGGGGAGUACGGCCGCAAGGUUGAA